AGUGUGGCGUAAAGGCAGCGCGUUGGUCUCAUAAGCCAAAGGAGAAGGAUCAAUACCUUUCACU
rnacentral:tRNA from 1 species